AUGCAGUUCGUGCUUGAUCCAAACGAAUACAUCACUGCGGUGGAGAUUAACUACGACAACAUAUUUGGAACUGAAUCCGAGAUCAUAACGAUGCUUAAGUUCAUGACAAACAAGCGAACCUCUCCACCUUUUGGACUUGAAGGUGCUAAAAGUGUCCUACUUAAAGAAGACGGUCACAAGAUCGUUGGUUUCCAUGGCAAAGCAGGUGCUGACAUACUUCACCAAGUUGGAGUCCAUGUCAAGCCUAUCUCCAAGUGAUUUGAGAAUGUCUUCUACUACGUCCCAGUGUAACAAAGAUAGUCAUAUGUCAAUAAAGAAGGCUCCACUUUAGAAAUUGUCAUUGUACGUGUGUAAACGGUAAGCGAAAGGGUUGAAUAAGGUAUUUCCACGUACUGUGUGCUUGUGUGUCAGUGUCUCCUUGUGUUGUAGUGGAGUUUGUAACACUCUUUGUAAGAUGUAUAAAAUCUUGGCUACGUUGUAAAGUGCUUACGAUUCCUUGAUGUUUUUGAGAUUUCAACCGGACAGGCCGGCUUAACACCGUUGCACUACAAGAAAUUGUUCAAUUUGUGACCACUUAAUCAGAAAGAAAUUGGUCAGAAACAAGCAUUUUUGUCCCAUUUCUCACCACUUAUAGUCGUCAAAAAUACUCCAUCAGAAAUCGGAUUUGGUCAGGAAGUGGUCAAUAAUUAUAGUAAUUUCGUCAGAAUUAUCGUCAUAAACUGGUCACAACAAUGUUGACGAUUUUGUGACGUGUUUCUAACCCUUUUUAUAUGAUGAAUUGGUGACCACUCUGUGACCAUUUGUUUUGAUUACUUUUUGACCGGCUUGUGACAAUUUAUUAUUGACAAACUUUUGACCACUUAUUUUCUAACGACAUUCUAACCAUCUAUUAGUGUUUUUUUUUAUUAAUCAACAAAAUUGUAUUUAAUAUAAAUAAAUGACAAAAUCAAAUAUUUUUAUAAUUAAAAUCUAAAUAAUAGCGUUCGAAAUAGUUUUAGCAAAAUACUUAAAUAAAGGCUGAAUAAGUUGUUUCUUGUAGUUAACAAACAAGUUACAAUUGGUCAUUACUAAAGUUUUAACCACAAAACAGAAGCAUGAUAACUACAAAACAGAAGCAUGGUAACUAAUACAUAACUAUUCUUGAGUGGCAUCUUCAUCUUCAUCUAGCAAUUCUGGAAAUUUGCUAACAACCUUAUGUGCCAAGUUUUGUAGAUACUUUAUAACUUUACCUUGGUCCACUUUGUCAUUCUCCAAAGUCGCAAUCUUCUCAUUUGCCAUAGCAAUCUUCUCAUCUGCCAAAGCAAUAUUCUCGCUUGCAAUACGUAAUUGCUCAUCUUGGUCUAAAUUAGGCAUGAAUCUAGCUGAAGAAGGUGGUUGUCCUGGCUCUGGUAGUGUUCCAAACCCAAAACGGUGACCCUUAAGUAUAGGAGUUUCCUGUAAAAAGAUACAUAUAAUGAAAGAACAGAAAAAAAAUAAUAACUAUAGAAACAGCAAUUGACUCACCCUUAAAACGAGAGUGUUGAUCUCUGCUUGGGUAAGAUGGUUUGUCUCAGUUGAUCUACCUUGAGUUAGCUGAUCAUUUAUCUUCUCUUUGACAGUCUCCACAAUCUGCUUCACCUUCUUGUCACAAAUGUCACCAGUCUUUCGAUUUCUAUGAGCAUCCUCAAGGAAUGCUAGCAUGCCAGGCUCUUCCCCUCCAUUUUCAAUGAUCUUACCAAGAUGAAAAUGAAAAAUUAACUGACAAUUAUAGUUAGCCAAAAAUACGUGAACAUUGUAAUUAUAAUUUACCAUUUCUUCUUUGCGUGUCUCGAAAGAUGUUGCCCCUGUGUUGUGUAUUGCGAUGCUGUAACCACCGCGUUCGCUUUUCCUGUUGGUAGAGUUUCUUGAAGAUUUUGCUUCAACCUUUUCAUCCUGCCACAUCAAAACGUAACCCUCCCAAGCUUUUUCUGAUACCCAAUUAGGAGGAUCUUUGUUCAACUUCCAUUUAUAUUUCCACGCACACAAUUUGCUUGAGAAAGAUUUCUGAGCCUUUUUCUCAUAAGCAACCUUUACGGUUUCAGUAAUGCUUCGUUCCCAAUCAAAUUGUUGCUGGAAAGUAGUGAGAAAUUAUUAUUAAUGAGAAAAAAAACUAGUUUAGAGUGAAAAAAUGCAUUACCGCAAAUGCUCUGAACCAUCGCGUUUUCACAUCACGAGGUAGAUGAUUAUACGUAGGAUACGCUCCUGGUAGGUCAGAUUUCAUCAUCUUUAAUAUUGCUUUAGAAAUUUUGCCUUUAUCAUAUUUAAACCUAUAAAAAUAAAUCAAUCUUAUCUCAAUGAAAGGGGUUUGCAAUACUUAAACCUAAGUCACCCCAAACCAACAAAUUAUAUAAUAGAAAUAUUUACCAAGUAGCUCUUCCACGCCGCAAGGGGUCGAGUACAGUGAGGCUCUCUCGUCCAGGAGCCCCCAAAAGAUCAUCCACUGUCAUAUGAGGGGUGGGCGCUGCAGCUGGUGUAGUCGAAGUUGAUGGUAUGUUCGUGACGUUGAUAUUAGCCUGGUUUAGUUGAGAGUAAUAAGUCUCAAAGCCUUGAAAGGAAUCAACAUAAAUUGGUGUUCCAUCACUUAACGGAUUUUGUUGAAGAAACUGCAGAAAUUGCUCUCGAGUAGGCAUCCUCUGAGAAUCGGCGAACGUGUGAUCUUAGGACCACGAGUUUGGUUUUGAGUUAUCGCCUAUCUAGAUGUGCAUCUCUUAUAUAAAACGCACUUGCAUUCAUCUUCAUCAGUACCACACGAGCUCUCUUAUCUCUUUCUGUUAUCUAUAAAAAUAAAAUAAAAACAGAGGUAUUUCUCUCUCUCUCUCCAAAUGCUUGUAAAUGUCCAUGUUUUGGUUAAUUCUAACUAUUAUGAAAACUAUAUAUAAGUUCCAACUAAUAUGUAAAAAGUACGUAAGUUAUUUUUCCAUAAAGAAAAAAUAACAGUCGGUAUAUAAUGGUCAGAUACAACAAUGGCAGCCGCAACAAUGUCUUGGGACGACGGGAAGCACAUGAGGGUGAAGAGCGUUCAGCUUACAUAUGAAGAUGUUAUCAAGUCCAUAGAGGCCGUGUAUGACGAUGACCAAAAUCCUAAGCGUCAUGGCACUCCUGGCAAAAAAUCUGACGGCGUUAGUACUCACCAUCUUCACCAUAUAUUUUAUUAUUUAGUGUGUUAUUUUGAUAAAUUGUAAUAUUUUUAAUUUUUGUAGGUGAGCCUGAGUCCUGACGAGUACAUAACAGAUGUUACUGGCUACUACAAAACUACGGGGAACGAAGAUGCUAUAGCAGCGUUGGCUUUUAGGACCAACAAAACCGAAUAUGGUCCUUUCGGAAACAAGACCGGGAACCAGUUCUCCAUCCAGGCACCCAAAGAUAACCAGAUCGCUGGUUUUCAAGGCACUAGCAGCAAUGUUCUCAACUCCAUUGACGUCCACUUUGCUCCCAUACCGUCGGCUUCUGCUGGUGGCCAACCAGCUGGAUCAGCUGCCAGUGCCAAAAAAUUAGAGGCAAAAGGUGGUAACGCGGGAAACCCAUGGGACGAUGGUGCUCAUGAUGGUGUUAAAAAAGUGUACGUUGGUCAAGGCGAAUCUGGUGUAACGUACGUCAAGUUUGUCUACGAGAAGGACUCUAAGGAGGUCCCUGGAAAUGAUCAUGGAAAAAAGACACUACUUGCACCUGAAGAGGUUAAAUAUAUGAAUAUAAGAAUCAGUUAGCUCUAAAGAUUGCAAUAUAUAUAUAUCGUUUUUAUAAUGUUGUUUACAUUAAAACUGUGUUUACUUUCUUUUAUGCAGUUCGUGCUUGAUCCAAACGAAUACAUCACUGCGGUGGAGAUUAACUACGACAACAUAUUUGGAACUGAAUCCGAGAUCAUAACGAUGCUUAAGUUCAUGACAAACAAGCGAACCUCUCCACCUUUUGGACUUGAAGGUGCUAAAAGUGUCCUACUUAAAGAAGACGGUCACAAGAUCGUUGGUUUCCAUGGCAAAGCAGGUGCUGACAUACUUCACCAAGUUGGAGUCCAUGUCAAGCCUAUCUCCAAGUGAUUUGAGAAUGUCUUCUACUACGUCCCAGUGUAACAAAGAUAGUCAUAUGUCAAUAAAGAAGGCUCCACUUUAGAAAUUGUCAUUGUACGUGUGUAAACGGUAAGCGAAAG
rnacentral:lncRNA from 1 species